rnacentral:rRNA from 1 species
UACGUAGGGUGCAAGCGUUGUCCGGAAUUAUUGGGCGUAAAGAGCUCGUAGGCGGUCUGUCGCGUCGAAUGUGAAAACCCGGGGCUCAACCCCGGGCCUGCAGUGGAUACGGGCAGACUAGAGGUAGGUAGGGGAGAAUGGAAUUCCCGGUGUAGCGGUGAAAUGCGCAGAUAUCAGGAGGAACACCGGUGGCGAAGGCGGGUCUCUGGGCCGUAACUGACGCUGAGGAGCGAAAGCGUGGGGAGCGAACAGG